rnacentral:tRNA from 2 species
UGGGGAGUCGCCAAGUGGUAAGGCAGCGGGUUUUGAUCCCGCCAUUCCCAGGUUCGAAUCCUGGCUCCCCAACCA